rnacentral:rRNA from 1 species
AGUGACAGCGUACCUUUUGUAUAAUGGGUCAGCGACUUAAUCUAGCAAGCAAGCUUAAACCGUUAGGUGUAGGCGUAGCGAAAGCGAGUCUUAAUAGGGCGUCGAGUUAGAUGGAUCAGACCCGAAACCGAGUGAUCUAGGCAUGACCAGGAUGAAGGUAAGGUAACACUUACUGGAGGUCCGAACCCACACCUGUUGAAAAAGGUCGGGAUGAGUUGUGCCUAGGGGUGAAAGGCCAAUCAAACUCGGAAAUAGCUCGUACUCCCCGAAAUGUUUUUAGGAACAGCGUGGAGGUUAAGUCUAACGGAGGUAGAGCUACCAAUAGGACUAGGGGGAGUCAAAUCCUACCAAAUCCUGAUGAACUCCGAAUGCCGUUAGAUAUACUCCGCAGUGAGGGCAUGGGUGCUAAGGUCCAUGUCCGAGAGGGAAAGAACCCAGACCAUCAGCUAAGGUCCCCAAAUGUAUGUUAAGUUGAAUAAACGAGGUUGAACUGCUUAGACAGCUAGGAUGUUGGCUUGGAAGCAGCCAUUCAUUUAAAGAGUGCGUAACAGCUCACUAGUCGAGCGGUUCGGCAUGGAUAAUAAUCGGGCAUAAACAUACUACCGAAGCUAUGGACUUGAAAAAGUGGUAGGGGAGCAUUGUAGUGUCGUCGAAGGUGUACUGCGAGGUAUGCUGGAGAAGCUACAAAAGAAAAUGUAGGCAUAAGUAACGAUAAUGCGGGCGAGAAACCCGCACACCGAAAGACUAAGGUUUCCUCAGCUAUGCUAAUCAGCUGAGGGUUAGUCGGGACCUAACGCGAACCCGAAAGGGGUAGUGGAUGGACAACGGGUUAAUAUUCCCGUACCUGCUCACGCUAAAAGUGACGGAGGCGUAUAUUUGGUGCGAACUGACGGAAUAGUUCGUUGAAGGGAGCGGUAACGCCCCGAUAGUACACUGAGGCUACGGCCAAGGUGAUAAUCCAGAGAAGCGACUUCCAAGAAAAACGAGUGAAGCAGCCCGUACCGUAAACCGACACAGGUAGUUGGGAUGAGAAUUCUAAGGUGCUCGAGAGAUUCAUGGCUAAGGAACUAGGCAAAAUAGACGCGUAACUUCGGGAGAAGCGUCGCCCAUCUCCGGAUGGGCCGCAGUGAAAAGGUCCAGGCGACUGUUUAUCAAAAACACAGGGCUCUGCUAAAUCGAAAGAUGACGUAUAGGGCCUGACACCUGCCCGGUGCUGGAAGGUUAAGUGGA